CUACGUGCCAGCAGCCGCGGUAAUACGUAGGUGGCAAGCGUUGUCCGGAAUUAUUGGGCGUAAAGGGCGCGCAGGCGGCUUCUUAAGUCUGUCUUAAAAGUGCGGGGCUUAACCCCGUGAUGGGAUGGAAACUGGGAAGCUCAGAGUAUCGGAGAGGAAAGCGGAAUUCCUAGUGUAGCGGUGAAAUGCGUAGAUAUUAGGAGGAACACCAGUGGCGAAAGCGGCUUUCUGGACGAAAACUGACGCUGAGGCGCGAAAGCCAGGGGAGCGAACGGGAUUAGAUACCCCGGUAGUCCUGGCCGUAAACGAUGGGUACUAGGUGUAGGAGGUAUCGACCCCUUCUGUGCCGGAGUUAACGCAAUAAGUACCCCGCCUGGGGAGUACGACCGCAAGGUUGAAACUCAAAGGAAUUGACGGGGGCCCGCACAAGCGGUGGAGUAUGUGGUUUAAUUCGAUGCAACGCGAAGAACCUUACCUACUCUUGACAUCCAGAGAACAUUC
rnacentral:rRNA from 1 species